GAUGAACGCUGGCUACAGGCUUAACACAUGCAAGUCGAGGGGAAACGACGGGGAAGCUUGCUUCCCCGGGCGUCGACCGGCGCACGGGUGAGUAACGCGUAUCCAACCUGCCCCUGACUGAGGGAUAACCCGUCGAAAGUCGGCCUAAUACCUCAUGGUAUCGUCUGCGGGCAUCCAACGACGAUUAAAGAUUUCAUCGGUCAGGGAUGGGGAUGCGUCUGAUUAGCUUGUUGGCGGGGUAACGGCCCACCAAGGCUACGAUCAGUAGGGGUUCUGAGAGGAAGGUCCCCCACAUUGGAACUGAGACACGGUCCAAACUCCUACGGGAGGCAGCAGUGAGGAAUAUUGAUCAAUGGGCGAGAGCCUGAACCAGCCAAGUAGCGUGCAGGAAGACGGCCCUAUGGGUUGUAAACUGCUUUUAUGCGGGGAUAAAGUGAGGGACGUGUCCCUCAUUGCAGGUACCGCAUGAAUAAGGACCGGCUAAUUCCGUG
rnacentral:rRNA from 1 species